GGGAUGACGUCAAGUCAUCAUGGCCCUUACGACCAGGGCUACACACGUGCUACAAUGGCGCAUACAAAGAGAAGCGAUCUCGCGAGAGCAAGCGGACCUCAUAAAGUGCGUCGUAGUCCGGAUUGGAGUCUGCAACUCGACUCCAUGAAGUCGGAAUCGCUAGUAAUCGUGGAUCAGAAUGCCACGGUGAAUACGUUCCCGGGCCUUGUACACACCGCCCGUCACACCAUGGGAGUGGGUUGCAAAAGAAGUAGGUAGCUUAACCUUCGGGAGGGCGCUUACCACUUUGUGAUUCAUGACUGGGGUGAAGUCGUAACAAGGUAACCGUAGGGGAACCUGCGGUUGGAUCACCUCCUUA
rnacentral:rRNA from 1 species